rnacentral:rRNA from 1 species
GACGAGUCUCACGAACGUUAUUCGGAAUUACUGGGCUUAAAGGGUGCGUAGGCGGUGGAGUAAGUCGGAUGUGAAAUACCAUAGCUUAACUAUGGAACUGCACUCGAUACUGGAUGACUAGAGGACCGGAGAGGAUAGUGGAAUUCCCAGUGUAGUGGUGAAAUACGUAGAGAUUGGGAAGAACACCAGUGGCGAAGGCGGCUAUCUGGACGGUUUCUGACGCUAAGACGCGAAAGCGUGGGGAGCAAACAGG